CUUACCUCAGCAUGAUGAGAGAAGAUGAAUUUCAACCACGUAUCUGGGAUGGGAGUCCCUAAAGCUGCUGAGCAGGGGCUUAAAAUGCUAUUUUAUAAUGAAUGCAUUUUUACACUGAAUCAUCUGCUCUUUGAAUCGCGGUUUACUUCUGUCUUGAGGACUAAUAAAAGGUAAAUCACUGAUAAUUUGAAAGGAGGUGGGAAGGAGACAAGAUCUGGACAGCUGUUUAGUUACAUAAGAUGGUGUACAAGUGGAGAUGAGGAAGAAGAGGAGCAACGUGAAGAUGAGCAAGAAAUCUACAGAGGAAUGAGGGAGAAGAGAGCAUCCACGGGUCAUUGCAAAGACACAGCUGGAGCUCAGGUUCGACACCCUUGCUUCCCCCGUCCAUGGCAAAAUAUACCACACAUUAUUCUAAAUCAUG